AAAUUAUGUCUCUAGGGUUCCGGUUUGGCUGCUGUGGUCAAAUGGCUGGUCCAAGAGAGGCAGGUUAGUGAUGGCGUUGGUCAAGGACUGGCCCCUAAGGGUCAUCGCUAACUACACGGCGGGAUAAAAGCCCGGGAGGA
rnacentral:sRNA from 2 species